rnacentral:rRNA from 1 species
AUCUACCUUUUGCUACGGAAUAGCUCCGGGAAACUGGAAUUAAUACCGUAUGUGCCCUUAGGGGGAAAGAUUUAUCGGCAAGAGAUGAGCCCGCGUUGGAUUAGCUAGUUGGUGGGGUAAAGGCCUACCAAGGCGACGAUCCAUAGCUGGUCUGAGAGGAUGAUCAGCCACAUUGGGACUGAGACACGGCCCAAACUCCUACGGGAGGCAGCAGUGGGGAAUAUUGGACAAUGGGCGCAAGCCUGAUCCAGCCAUGCCGCGUGAGUGAUGAAGGCCUUAGGGUUGUAAAGCUCUUUCACCGGAGAAGAUAAUGACGGUAUCCGGAGAAGAAGCCCCGGCUAACUUCGUGCCAGCAGCCGCGGUAAUACGAAGGGGGCUAGCGUUGUUCGGAAUGACUGGGCGUAAAGCGCACGUAGGCGGACAUUUAAGUCAGGGGUGAAAUCCCGGGGCUCAACCUCGGAACUGCCUUUGAUACUGGGUGUCUGGAGUGUGGAAGAGGUGAGUGGAAUUCCGAGU